UACGUAGGUGGCAAGCGUUGUCCGGAUUUACUGGGCGUAAAGAGCGCGCAGGCGGUCGUUCAAGUCGCGUGUGAAAGCCCCCGGCUCAACUGGGGAGGGUCACGCGAUACUGAUCGACUGGAAGGCAGGAGAGGGUAGUGGAAUUCCCGGUGUAGUGGUGAAAUGCGUAGAUAUCAGGAGGAACACCGGUGGCGAAGGCGGCUUCCUGGCCAUUCACUGACGCUGAGACGCGAAAGCGUGGGGAGCAAACAGG
rnacentral:rRNA from 1 species